CGGUGGGAGAUUGGCUCGGUGACUAUUGGGUUUCGUUUUGCAAAAAAAAAAAAUUCAUUCUCGACGGAAGCGAUUUCAAUCCAUCUUCUUCUGCGAUCUUCCAAGCCACGAUCUUCCAAGCGAAUGUUUUGAUGCAAUCAUCAAGAAACUAGAACUUCCCUGGAAUAUAACUUUGAUUGAUAAAAUGGAGGAUAUGGAGAAACAGAUACAGCUGCAGGAAGAUCUUGUGAAGAAGCUGAAAGAGAAACCGAAGGCGAAGGAAGAAGCAUAAGACCUUACUCAAGAAAUGGCUGAACUAAGGUACAAGAUGUUUUGCUCGACGAGGAACGCAAACGCCGUGUGUGCAUAGAGCAAGCGUCAUUACAGAGAAUUGCAGAACUAGAAGCACAAUCUGAAGGCGGCUGGAGUGAGAUGAACAAACAGAGGUGAGAGUUAAAACCUUUGAUUAAAUGUCUCGGGAAUUUAGUAUUAGAGAUUUGAUAUUACUUCUUUUAGCUUUUAGAGAGUGCAUAAUAUGCUUGGAACAUGUAUAUACUCUUUGUUCGUUUUGAUAAAGAGAA